rnacentral:rRNA from 1 species
AAUAGAUACCCGGGUAGUCCACGCCGUAAACGAUGAGUGCUAAGUGUUAGAGGGUUUCCGCCCUUUAGUGCUGCAGCUAACGCAUUAAGCACUCCGCCUGGGGAGUACGGCCGCAAGGCUGAAACUCAAAGGAAUUGACGGGGGCCCGCACAAGCGGUGGAGCAUGUGGUUUAAUUCGAAGCAACGCGAAGAACCUUACCAGGUCUUGACAUCCUCUGCCAACCCUAGAGAUAGGGCGUUCCCCUUCGGGGGACAGAGUGACAGGUGGUGCAUGGUUGUCGUCAGCUCGUGUCGUGAGAUGUUGGGUUAAGUCCCGCAACGAGCGCAACCCUUGAUCUUAGUUGCCAGCAUUCAGUUGGGCACUCUAAGGUGACUGCCGGUGACAAACCGGAGGAAGGUGGGGAUGGACGGUCAAAUCAUCAUGCCCCUUAUGACCCUGGGCUACACACGUGCUACAAUGGAUGGUACAAAGAGCUGCGAACCCGUGAGGGUAAGCGAAUCUCAUAAAGCCAUUCUCAGUUCGGAUUGUAGG